rnacentral:lncRNA from 1 species
GGUUAGUGCAAAGUAGAUUUACACCUCAGCUUGCCGCAAACUAAGUACUCCUAUAGACAAGCCCUUAAGAGCACCUGCCCCACUGAAGGUCAACGGAGCUUGUGCUGCUUGUGUCAUUUAGGGUGGGAUUUUUAUAGCACCAGACCUGGCAUUUACAGCCACAUUUUCCAAAGUGGACACUUUGGGAUCCCUCCAGUGUUGGGUAGCCAGCCUCUUCCUUUUAGAUGCCUAACAGCUGGGAUUUUCAAAGGGGCCUAAGGAAGUUGGACACUCAACUCUCUUAGACCACUUUGAAUAUUUCAGACUCACUCUGGAUUUGGAUGCCAAAUGUUAGGCACUUAAUUUUUCAAGUUUGAACGCCAAGGGGUAAAAAUUUAGCUUUAGUGGUUAGAGCAGGAUUCCUGCUGGGCUCCAUUCUUGACUCUGCCACUGGCUCCCUCUGGGACUGUGGGUAAAUUGCUCCAUUUCUUUGCAUUUCAGAAUUCCCACCUGCAAAGACAGUCCUAAUACUUCCCUACCCGUUCAGAUAUGCUAUGAGGCUGUAGAGUGCUUCGAGCCCCACCUCUGAGAUAAAAGGAACUAUACGCAGACAAAGUGUUGUUGUAUUUAACAAGAGCUAAGUGGAAUUUUUUUUAAUUACAUCUCUGUGAGAAUCAGACAGGAAAGGUUUCACCUCCCCCUGUUUUCUGAGCACCUGAAAAGCCAAAUUCUCUUUUCUUCUGGUUCUCAUCAUAUUCUACCUGAGCCCUCUCACCUAUGUGCUCAGGGCUCUCCAUUGAGAUGCAUGCAUCCGACAGCAGCAUCUGGGCCUAGAACGUCUCCCAUUCCAGAGCAAGCAUUGGCUGAAAUGGAAAGGCAGGGAAUUUAGUCCUCCUGCCUUUCAUGUGUGGCUGCCUUCCAAAUCCAUUACUCUUUUUUACUUGUAUUACAGUAACAUCUGGAGAUGCCAGCUGAAAUUGGGACCCCAUUGUGCCAGGCAUUGUACAAACACAUAGUGAGAGACAGUCCUCACCCCAC